UUCAGCAGGGCCGUUGCGUGACAGGGCCGGAGAGGGCCGGAGCACAGGAUGUGAGAGACGGCGAUGGUGGUUUGGUGGGGCCGAGGCUGGUUUGUGGAGGGUUGUAACCUGAGCCUGGUCACAAACCCGGACUGGCGUCCUUAGAUGACCCCAGACCCCAGGCAAAUCUGAGAGGAGAGGUCCUUGGAGAAGGAAAACCCGGGAAAGCCUGCGGAUCCGUAUGUGGGCACAUCUACGCCUAUCCAAUCAAACCACGCCAGCGCCCACCUCCCAUCUCCGCAGAAUUUCCCUUCUCACUUCGGGGAGACAGAUUUGAGCCUGGCCUCCAGUGACCUUGCUGCUCCACUUUGCAAUAAAGCUUUCUUUUCUCAAAAGCCCAGGCGUCAUUGUAGUGGCUCUUGUGCGCCGGGCAGCGAGCUCUUUCUUGGUAACAGAAACUGAGACAGGGAAACCGCCACCGCCUUGGGUCGGGUCUCUCACUGCUUGUGGGCGGUGAGGGGCACCCACGCUCAGGACCCCGACAUUUCCCUCAAGACUGUGUCUUGUGGAGGACCCCCCCCCCGCACAUCCAUGCUUUCCCACACCCCUGGAGCUAGAAGGCAGCUAGUCUCCCCCUUGUUUCCUUAUUUCGCCCUGACCGUGGGCUCAACCCAUGGACCCUUUCUGCCUAUCUGGUUUCAAA